rnacentral:rRNA from 1 species
UACGGGGGGGGCAAGCGUUGUUCGGAAUUACUGGGCGUAAAGGGCUCGUAGGCGGCCAACUAAGUCAAACGUGAAAUCCCUCGGCUUAACCGGGGAACUGCGCUUGAUACUGGAUGGCUUGAGAUUGGGAGAGGGAUGCGGAAUUCCAGGUGUAGCGGUGAAAUGCGCAGAUAUCAGGAGGAACACCAAUAGCGAAGGCAGCUCGCUGGGACGGUACUGACGCUAAGGCGCGAAAGCGUGGGGAGCGAACAGG